GCACGGUGGCUUAGUGGUUAGCACGUUCGCCUCACACCUCCAGGGUCCGGGGUCCGGGGUUCGAUUCCCCGGGGCCAUGUG